rnacentral:rRNA from 1 species
UACGAAGGGGGCUAGCGUUGCUCGGAAUCACUGGGCGUAAAGCGCACGUAGGCGGAUUGUUAAGUCAGGGGUGAAAUCCUGGAGCUCAACUCCAGAACUGCCUUUGAUACUGGCGAUCUCGAGUCCGGGAGAGGUGAGUGGAACUGCGAGUGUAGAGGUGAAAUUCGUAGAUAUUCGGCAAGAACACCAGUGGCGAAGGCGGCUCACUGG